rnacentral:rRNA from 1 species
UAGGGAAUCCUCGGCAAUGGGGGGCAACCCUGACCGAGCAACGCCGCGUGAGUGAAGAAGGUUUUCGGAUCGUAAAGCUCUGUUGUAAGAGAAGAACGUGUGUGAGAGUGGAAAGUUCACACAGUGACGGUAACUUACCAGAAAGGGACGGCUAACUACGUGUCAG